rnacentral:piRNA from 1 species
UGCAAAGCGCGGCAGCUGUUUGACUCCCU